UGUCAGUUGGGUAGAAAUAGCAAACUUAAACUCUCGUGGAAGAGAAGGCGCUUCCUUUUUCUCUUAUCAUUAGUUUUGAUUUCCGGAUUUAAUUUUUUGAUGGCUCAGAAACUUGGAAUCUUGGACUUACUCCGAGUAUGCACAUCUCUCUCUAUGCAUGUAAUAUAAUGCCGGGUCACUGUUCUUCCUUGUGUGGGUUUGGUUCUUUUCUUAGGUGUUCAAUGAGGUUGAAAUAGUAAAAAUGAAUUGUCAUGUCACGGACACAUAUUAUAUUAUCGACAUGUUCGGGAUUCUUAUUCAAGAAUGGUUAAUUACUUCCAAGGCACAACUAGCUGUAAGACUAAGUGAACUGUUCGUGGGGAAAUUGAGAAUAUAUGAUCCAGAUCUAGUUUGAGUAGUCAUAUCAUUGAACUUUUUUAGCAUCUGACUUUUAGGCAUGAGAUAGAGUUAGAUAUGGUCAUCAACCAUAACCAUGCUAUUUUCUCCAAGUUAGAUUUUAUUGAAUGUUAUGGUGGCCAAGAAAUGUGCUGUUAUUAGGCAUGUGAAGAAGCUAAACGUGUUUUGCAAUUUAUAUAAGGUCUAGAAUUAGGCAAUCUAGGAGUUCCUUUAUAAAGUGUUGUAUAGCUUUUCACAAUUUAAGUUGUUUGCUAUUUCUUUUGGUCAAUAGGGUAAGCUCAGACAAUCCUAUCUUUAGUUGGUGGACUGCAUAUUUUGGUGGGGGGAUAGUAUUCUUUAAGGUGAAAGGGCUUUUCUUGUUUUGGGUAAGGUAGAUUCUAAAGAGAAUGUCAAAGUGAAAUAGGUCUAUUAAAGGUCUUUGGGUUUGUCUUCCUCAGCACCGGUAGAUGGUGAGCUUUGGACAACGGUGUUGCUCUUCAUCGUCCAGCAUUGAUGGCAAGAGAGUAAUUCAAGUAAGAGGUGGUUUGUGCAUGGGGAUGUGGGAUGUUGACAUCGCCACCAACCAGUGCCGCAUGCUUCUCUUUUGUGUUUUGUUUUAAUAAGUGUUGUGUAGGUGUAGGCAAGAUCUGCCAUACCAACACAUAUGUCCCGUGCUGAUUACACCAUAUUGUACCAGCACAAUGUCAAGGUUUGGUUUGGUAUAUGAGUUGAACUCAUUUGUACUGGUUUGAAUCAAAUGUAGCCAUCUCAUACCAUCCAGAAUUGACCCAUGUCACCCAAUUUCAGGCGGUACCAUAGAUGGGAGAGAAAAAAAGUGCCAUGAGUCCAUCUCGGUACGAGGUACAUACCAUGUUGUAUUUAUCAUAGUACCAAACUGAUAAUGUGACAGUAUGGUUCUGGGUAUCGGUUCUAUGGAUGCAUGCUAUUUCUACUGGGCUGGCUUAGAUGCCCUGUGCCAUUUGAUUGAUAGUUUGUAUGUCAUGAGUUGUUAUGUUGCCCCAUUUGUGUGGGCUUGUGUUCUUGACCUUUAUGGGCUGGGGCAGUUGGUAGCUGGGUUCUGCUCUCUUCAGCUACUUGGCAUGUGCUCAAGGCAGCGAGGGAGGCAUUAGCAUGUCCCAGUGGCCUAUUUUGGCCAUUGUUUGAAUCCAAAAAACCAAAUAAAAAUGAAAUAAGUCUAACGAAAAAUUUUAAACCAAGGAAAAAAAUUCUUUAUUACUUUUAUUUUUUUAGGGAUGAUUUUUUGUGAUAAUUAUUUAAGCUGACUGUUGUCCUUUUAAGAUUAUGUAUCCUGUUUUUAGCCCUUUUUAGGGUCCUUAGUUCAGUUUAAUUGGCCUCAUUGCCAGGUUGCAAAAUCACUUGGUUGAUUGAAGUGACUACUUUCGACUAUUGAGUGGGCAACUUUUGUUUGAAGUGCUUUAUUCUCCCUUCUUUUCAAGGAGUUCUAGAUGGGCAAGGCUUACAUCUAUAUUUGACUGAUAAGGAGAAAAUGAUGAAGUGAAUCUUUGGAUGGUUCUUCCCAAUUUGUUCCUUGAUUAUGUGUCUUUUCUAUCUUGUUUACUAUUUUUCUGAACAAUAUCGAAGUCAUGCUUCACUCUAAUAGCAAUUGAUGUGUGUCUGAUUUAGUUGACUGAAAGGAUGUGAAAUUGAUCAUGGUGAAAACAUGAAUCUUUAUAGUGCAAUUAAAUUUUCUGCACAAAAUCUGAAAAAUGUUGCAUGUCUCUACCUUAUUUUUAGAUCUGAAGUAAAUUGUUGAUAUUUUAUCCCAUUGCAAGAUUGAUAUCUGUAUUAAAUUGUUUCGGAAGGAAAUGUUAGGUUUGGAAGCACAUACUGAAUAUCUCAACAAGGCGAUGCAACCUGAAAUAUAUUUGUUGCUUGAUUUGAUUUCAUUUAUGGUGGUUUUGUAGAAGAAUGACUUACUUUCAGGCACCGAGUGAAGAAACUGUUGAAUUUUUGACAAUGAGCAAUUUAUUUGCUUUUUCAUCACAUUGAAGAUGACAUGAAGACUUAAGAUCAACCAUCUAAAGAUCUGUUGAUGAGAGAUCACAAUAUCCCUUCAAUCAAAUAUUGAUUUUGCAGUUUGGUUGUGAAAGGUCUACCUAUGAAGUCUGCUAGCACCUAUCACAAGAUUGAAGAAUAACCAGAACAUCUAUUUGCCAUAUCAUCUGCACCUGCAGGGAAGAAAAGUUACUGGAUGAUGCCAUGUGAUUGUGCCAAUCCAAUAUCAGAGCACAAAAUAUGGGACGAUUUCUUGAGAUGAGAUUGAUUGAGUAGAAACAAGAUGGCAUCCUAGGUUUUGAAAUGGUUUGGCUAGAUAAUUUUUUUUCAAGAUUAACUUUUUCUGCUUUGCAGCUGUCCUCGGCUCCAAGUUUAUGAACCUUAUGUGUUCUUUAUGUGAUGAAAAGAAAAGGUUUUGCGAGCUAGGGACUGGGGAAUUAAUUGUAAGUUUACAUUUGCUUGAUGCUCAAAUGUUUCGGGAUUAGAAAUUUAUUGUAGUCUUUAAGUUGUGGAGGUAAUAAUCUGUCCAAGUCAACCAAGACUAAGAUAUAUGCGGUGAUUCAAACCUGUGCUGUUUAACGUAGCAGCCCCUCUUGCAGCCACCCGGGUACUUUCCGCCACUAUCUUAUUAUAAGAAUUUAUCAUACUUAUAUAAUUUUUUAGUUUCCUGUUUAAAUAUUUGUUUAUUUAUUAGCUUUAUUAUGCUACGGGUCAUUAGGUUGACUUGCAAUCGAACUGCAGUCAAAUCACGGACCCAUGGCUAGGCAACCAAAAUGGGCUUUUUCCAGGUCAACGGGUUCCUAAUAUUGGUGAUAUUACGCGAAGGGAGUCGCUAUGUAGUUUUUUAGAUGAGAAGAAUUUUGUGUUCCCUUUCUGUGAUCACAACCUAGAGGUAUAUGGGCAAUGGAAUGGUUGAGCACAAGAAGAUAUGGUAUAUGAGAGAGAGAGGAAAAUAGAGAAGAAAAAAGAAGGAAAAUAUGAGAAAGAAAAGUGGAACUACUGCCUUGGCUGACUCUGGCUGGACCUCCUCUCUCUGACCUCUCAUUAUAUCGUCUUUUCAUGUCUUCCAUAUCUGUUCAGGGGUUUAUUCUCAUUUGCUAAUCGACUUGAUUUUGGGGUUUGGAAAACAAGAGUUGAACUGAAAUGUGCAUCAUUUCAGAAAGUGCAGAAUGACUUGCUAGAUUUCAGACUUGAUGCCCUAAAUUUAGAUCAUUAUAAUAUUGUGGUUGAUUAUGGGUAACUGAUGACACAAAGCUUCUUAUUUUCUCUCAUUUCUGCUAGACCACUACCCCCUUCCUUCCCCUGCCCCUUGCCCUCACCCUCCACACCAAAAAACAAAUGAAGACUGCAAAUCUUACUUUGUACUUACAGAAUCACUCUAGAGUUCUAGAUUGUUGUUGUUCGCAAACUUCAUGCACAUCAGAGGAGUAGGUUGUGGACCUCUUUUAGUCAACUAGUGCACCCCACUAGGCAAUAUGACAUAAAUUUGUUCACUGGAAUAGAUAAUAGCUCAAACCAAAGUAAGGGAUUUUCCACCCUUUUUUUGUGUCCAAUAGAAGAUUAGGAAGACUAGUAAUCCCUCCUAAAAGUAUUUGUUCCUUUCAUUUUUCCCAUCCUUCCCUUGUAUUCUCUUCCUUUAUAUUUGUAUGCCCGGAUAUGGAUCGAACUAUCUCGCAAUGUUUUGAACCCAGCUCACGUACCACUUUAAUGGGCGAACAGCCCAAUCCUUAGAAUAUACUACAGUCUCAGGUGGCAAAGAGCCGACAUCGAGGUGCCAAACCUUACCGUCGAUGUGAACUCUUGGAGAAGGUUAAAAAGGUAAACCCUAAACUAAUUAUAUGAUAACUCCAAUAAUCCAAACGCUGAGCCAAUUGAUAUUUGUAAUAAUUUCGAAAUGAAAGAAAAGAAGUGUUUUUAAAAAUCCUUCUUCUUUUUUCAUUCAAGUAUUUAAUCUCACCAAAGAAAAAUGAUCUAAUUAAGAAAUUUCCCCGGAUCUUGCUGAUUUUCAAUCCAAAUGGUGGACCAAAUCACUUGAGGACUUCCAUCAAAUCUGAUAAAAUAGAUCAUAGGAAUGUAAACCCUGACACUCAUAGAAUCACUGUAGAAUCUAGAAUUAUUUCGUGAUGGUCUGUGAACUUUUCUUCCUUGCAGUGUCUAUACUUUUGGGGAAAUGUAUGAUUUUUGAGCUUAUUGUGGCAUUUCAUUAUUAUGAAAAUUUUAUCAAUGUGAUUUUACUCUCUACAUGCACGCAUGUGCACUUACGGAGAUGAGGCAUUGUAAAUUCUGUAGUGUGAGAGCCUCAAAGAACUUUGGAAUGCAUAGCAUCUGUUCUUGGCUCUUCUAUUGUGAUCCUGUUGUGGUUCUAUUGAAAUUUUCAUCUGAUCUGCAGUGAUGUGCUGCAGUCAUAGAGUGAUCUUAGACAGGAUUCUUGAGGGAGGAAAAAAAAUCGAAGGUAUAUUUAGUUGAUGAAUCAAAGGUAUAGAGUUAUAGGUUACAUCAGAUGAUGGUCAAUUCUGCCUGGCUGCUCUUCAUUUGUUCACUAUAUGUAUCUGAAAGGGUUCAUGUUUUAUUCUAUGUGCCCACAAAAUGUUGUUGGUUCAGAUAGAAAACUUUGCUGACGGGAUACUUGGCUUAGUUGCGCAUGUCAAAGUGAUAGCAAAUUUCCUGAGAGUGUCAUUUUGGUCUUGUAAUCAUAGUGCAAAAGUGUUUGAGUUAUUGCAGAAGGACUAAAUUUACAAGUUUUGUCUUUACGAAACCUUCAGGCAUUUACUUAAGAUUUUUUAUUGUGCACUGGGUUGAUAUGUAAUGUGUUGUUGAACAUAAGCAGAUGA